GGUUAAGCGACUAAGCGUACACGGUGGAUGCCCUGGCAGUCAGAGGCGAUGAAGGACGUGCUAAUCUGCGAAAAGCGCCGGCGAGGUGAUAUGAACCCUUGACCCGGCGAUGUCCGAAUGGGGAAACCCAGUGCAAUCCGUUGCACUAUCGUUAACUGAAUACAUAGGUUAACGAGGCGAACCGGGGGAACUGAAACAUCUAAGUACCCCGAGGAAAAGAAAUCAACCGAGAUUCCCCCAGUAGCGGCGAGCGAACGGGGAGCAGCCCGGAGUCUGAAUCAGCUUGUGUGUUAGUGGAACGGUCUGGAAAGUCCGACGGUACAGGGUGAUAGUCCCGUACACGAAAGCACACUUGCUGUGAACUCGAAGAGUAGGGCGGGACACGUGGUAUCCUGUCUGAAUAUGGGGGGACCAUCCUCCAAGGCUAAAUACUCCUGACUGACCGAUAGUGAACCAGUACCGUGAGGGAAGGCGAAAAGAACCCCGGCGAGGGGAGUGAAAAAGAACCUGAAACCGUGUACGUACAAGCAGUGGGAGCCUCUUUAUGGGGUGACUGCGUACCUUUUGUAUAAUGGGUCAGCGACUUAUAUUCUGUAGCAAGGUUAACCGUAUAGGGGAGCCGAAGGGAAACCGAGUCUUAACUGGGCGUUAAGUUGCAGGGUAUAGACCCGAAACCCGGUGAUCUAGCCAUGGGCAGGUUGAAGGUUGGGUAACACUAACUGGAGGACCGAACCGACUAAUGUUGAAAAAUUAGCGGAUGACCUGUGGCUGGGGGUGAAAGGCCAAUCAAACCGGGAGAUAGCUGGUUCUCCCCGAAAGCUAUUUAGGUAGCGCCUCGUGAACUCAUCUUCGGGGGUAGAGCACUGUUUCGGCUAGGGGGCCAUCCCGGCUUACCAACCCGAUGCAAACUACGAAUACCGAAGAAUGUUAUCACGGGAGACACACGGCGGGUGCUAACGUCCGUCGUGAAGAGGGAAACAACCCAGACCGCCAGCUAAGGUCCCAAAGUCAUGGUUAAGUGGGAAACGAUGUGGGAAGGCACAGACAGCCAGGAUGUUGGCUUAGAAGCAGCCAUCAUUUAAAGAAAGCGUAAUAGCUCACUGGUCGAGUCGGCCUGCGCGGAAGAUGUAACGGGGCUAAACCAUGCACCGAAGCUGCGGCAGCGACACUUAUGUGUUGUUGGGUAGGGGAGCGUUCUGUAAGCCGUUGAAGGUGUGCUGUGAGGCAUGCUGGAGGUAUCAGAAGUGCGAAUGCUGACAUAAGUAACGAUAAAGCGGGUGAAAAGCCCGCUCGCCGGAAGACCAAGGGUUCCUGUCCAACGUUAAUCGGGGCAGGGUGAGUCGACCCCUAAGGCGAGGCCGAAAGGCGUAGUCGAUGGGAAACAGGUUAAUAUUCCUGUACUUGGUGUUACUGCGAAGGGGGGACGGAGAAGGCUAUGUCAGCCGGGCGACGGUUGUCCCGGUUUAAGCAUGUAGGCGGAGGUUCCAGGUAAAUCCGGUACCUUUUAACGCUGAGGUGUGAUGACGAGGCACUACGGUGCUGAAGUGAUAAAUGCCCUGCUUCCAGGAAAAGCCUCUAAGCAUCAGGUAACACGAAAUCGUACCCCAAACCGACACAGGUGGUCAGGUAGAGAAUACCAAGGCGCUUGAGAGAACUCGGGUGAAGGAACUAGGCAAAAUGGUGCCGUAACUUCGGGAGAAGGCACGCUGAUGUGUAGGUGAAGCCCCUGCGGGCGGAGCUGAAAUCAGUCGAAGAUACCAGCUGGCUGCAACUGUUUAUUAAAAACACAGCACUGUGCAAACACGAAAGUGGACGUAUACGGUGUGACGCCUGCCCGGUGCCGGAAGGUUAAUUGAUGGGGUUAGCGGCAACGCGAAGCUCUUGAUCGAAGCCCCGGUAAACGGCGGCCGUAACUAUAACGGUCCUAAGGUAGCGAAAUUCCUUGUCGGGUAAGUUCCGACCUGCACGAAUGGCGUAAUGAUGGCCAGGCUGUCUCCACCCGAGACUCAGUGAAAUUGAACUCGCUGUGAAGAUGCAGUGUACCCGCGGCAAGACGGAAAGACCCCGUGAACCUUUACUAUAGCUUGACACUGAACACUGGUCCUUGAUGUGUAGGAUAGGUGGGAGGCUUUGAAGCGUGGACGCCAGUCUGCGUGGAGCCAACCUUGAAAUACCACCCUUUAAUGGCUGGUGUUCUAACGUAGACCCGUAAUCCGGGUUGCGGACAGUGUCUGGUGGGUAGUUUGACUGGGGCGGUCUCCUCCCAAAGAGUAACGGAGGAGCACGAAGGUUGGCUAAUCCUGGUCGGACAUCAGGAGGUUAGUGCAAUGGCAUAAGCCAGCUUGACUGCGAGCGUGACGGCGCGAGCAGGUGCGAAAGCAGGUCAUAGUGAUCCGGUGGUUCUGAAUGGAAGGGCCAUCGCUCAACGGAUAAAAGGUACUCCGGGGAUAACAGGCUGAUACCGCCCCCAAGAGUUCAUAUCGACGGCGGUGUUUGGCACCUCGAUGUCGGCUCAUCACAUCCUGGGGCUGAAGUAGGUCCCAAGGGUAUGGCUGUUCGCCAUUUAAAGUGGUACGCGAGCUGGGUUUAGAACGUCGUGAGACAGUUCGGUCCCUAUCUGCCGUGGGCGCUGGAGAAUUGAGGGGGGCUGCUCCUAGUACGAGAGGACCGGAGUGGACGCAUCACUGGUGUUCGGGUUGUCAUGCCAAUGGCACUGCCCGGUAGCUAAAUGCGGAAGAGAUAAGUGCUGAAAGCAUCUAAGCACGAAACUUGCCCCGAGAUGAGUUCUCCCUGAGACUUUAAGUCUCCUGAAGGAACGUUGAAGACGACGACGUUGAUAGGUCGGGUGUGUAAGCGCAGCGAUGCGUUGAGCUAACCGAUACUAAUGAACCGUGAGGCUUAACCUU
rnacentral:rRNA from 1 species